rnacentral:rRNA from 1 species
UACGGGGGGAGCAAGCGUUGUUCGGAUUUACUGGGCGUAAAGGGCGCGUAGGCGGUCAGUGCAAGUCAGUUGUGAAAUCUCCGGGCUUAACUCGGAACGGUCAACUGAUACUGCUCGACUAGAGUGCGGAAGGGGCAACUGGAAUUCUUGGUGUAGCGGUGAAAUGCGUAGAUAUCAAGAGGAACUCCGGUGGCGAAGGCGGCAUACUGGACCACUUCUGACGCUGAGGCGCGAAGCCAGGGGAGCGAACGGG